UAAAAAAGCGGUUGUUAUAGAGACUUAUGUGGGUCAGAACCGGUGAAGGUGACGUUAAACGGCACAACAAUCGAGUUGAGAUUGACACCCGACUCAACAUGAGCACCCGAUGAUUAUGAUGGGAAGACACCAUUCCCCCACUACAGCCAGGACGAGAUCAUGAUUUGAAAUGACAUUUGGGCAUCUGAUAGCAAUGAUUUCAGUGUAUAAAAGUCCGGGAUGAACCUGACAACACAUCAUCAGAAAAGAGUGGAGCACUGUGAUGGCGGAGCAGCCUGAUGAUGAUCUUCGGCCACUACACUGACCUUCAUGAGAUUGAAGUUCUGGAACACCAUUUCUUUAUUAUUCUUAAAUUAAAAACAACACAUACAUGUUUAGGCCCACAUGGAUUUUAUUUGAAUUCUUUAUGGAUACUUGGAAGGUAUCAUUCAUCUUUUACCUGCAAUAAAAGAUGUUAGAUGAACCAGCACUAAGGCAGCAUAUAAUCGAGUAAUAUCACUCACAGUCGCUGCUCCUGCCCGGGCUCUCGGGUUUAUACGACCUGAUGGAACACAGUCACUGCUGGAGGCUGAAGCCAGGACCGUUUUCAACGACAGCACCCUCAUGCCGGAAGAGAAAUGUCAGCUUUGGCCACUACCAAGAUGGCGGCGGCGUUGACGUACGAUCCAGGGACCAAUGUCUAUGCUAAACCAAAUCAAAUCAACCCAAGGACAGUCCCGGAAGGAUAUAAAUAUACAAAAUAUUACUUUGAUAAAAACGACAGUAGUGGUACAAAUGAGGAUGACGGGAAGUUAGGGCGCUUCAACAGGAGCAAGGUCACGUGGAGAGUUUCAAAAUGUAGGUACCUUAUAUUGAUUUUUAUGAAAUUUAUAACGAGACGAUGCAUCGAUCCAUGUCGAUGUAUUGUUACACCACUAUUUCUAAGUUACCAGACAAAACCUCUUAU